rnacentral:lncRNA from 1 species
CACACAAUUCCUUACUCUGAAAAGGGAAUAACAGAAUUCUAGAAAGUUGGUAUGAUAAUAUUUUACUUAAAUAUCUAUAUCUAUGCUAUUCUCUUGAACAUAAUAAAAACAGGAAGGACAGCCAUUCUUCACAGGGUUUUUAAAUGUAUGUGUGUCUUCACAUGAGCAUAUAUAUCAGCUUUAAGUUCAUGUGAGACCGUAUUUAUUACCAUCGUAUGAACGAGGAGGAGUAAAGUACAGUCCAGAGUUUCCUUCUCUGCUGCUUCCUGCUCUUGUGCCACCCUCAUAUCCCUGUUGGUUACAGAACAGGGAGGGAGACAGCUGGGUGGUCUGACUGAGGCUUCAGUAUUUCAGAGGCGGCUCAAGAGAAGAGAGGAAACGGACACUGCUUUGUUGAUAAUUAAGCCAGAUUUUUGUUGUUUUGUGGAAGUUGACAAGUUGCUAAACAAGCAUUCAAAGUAGUAAAGAGGUCAUGAGAAAGUCACAGUGGAAACCAGUUCCAGGCAAGAAACAAUCCUAUAAAUUUUGUUAUUUCAUUGGCAAGAACUCAUGAUAUAAUCAAAUAAAGUAGCAAUGGAGAUAGAUAAUAUACUUUAUCUGGGAUGUUGAUUCUAAUGGAUCUCUCCUCUUACCAGCUGUGUUUCAAAAGAAGCAGGAGCCAAGUGCUGUGUGGCCUGUGACCUACUUUUCACUUACAUGAUAUGCGAAGCAAUUAUUCUAGAAUGUUGCCAUUUUUUUCCUUACAAUAAUAUAAUUAUUAGAACUAUAGCAUC